rnacentral:rRNA from 1 species
CCUACGGGAGGCAGCAGUGAGGAAUAUUGGUCAAUGGACGAGAGUCUGAACCAGCCAAGUAGCGUGAAGGAUGACUGCCCUAUGGGUUGUAAACUUCUUUUAUAUGGGAAUAAAAUGUUCCACGUGUGGGAUUUUGUAUGUACCAUAUGAAUAAGGAUCGGCUAACUCCGUGCCAGCAGCCGCGGUCAUACGGAGGAUCCGAGCGUUAUCCGGAUUUAUUGGGUUUAAACGGAGCGUAGGUGGAUUGUUAAGUCAGUUGUGAAAGUUUGCGGGUCAACCGUAAAAUUGCAGUUGAAACUGGCAGUCUUGAGUACAGUAGAGGUGGGCGGAAUUCGUGGUGUAGCGGUGAAAUGCUUAGAUAUCACGAAGAACUCCGAUUGCGAAGGCAGUUCACUGGACUGCAACUGACACUGAGGCUCGAAAGUGAGGGUAUCAAACAGGAUUAGAUACCCGAGUAGUC